rnacentral:rRNA from 1 species
UACAGGGGAUGCAAGUGUUAUCCGGAAUUAUUGGGCGUAAAGCGUCUGCAGGUUGAUAUUUAAGUCUUUUGUUAAAGGUCUUGGCUUAACCAAGAAUCUGUAAAAGAAACUGGGUAUCUGGAGUAUAGUAGAGAUAAAGGGAAUUUUCAGUGGAGCGGUGAAAUGCGUAGAUAUUGGAAAGAACACCAAGGGCGAAGGCACUUUGUUGGGCUAUGACUGACACUCAGAGACGAAAGCUAGGGGAGCAAACAGGAUUAGAUACCCUGGUAGUCCUAGCUGUAAACGAUGGAUACUAGAUGUUGUGUUCUUUUUAAAGGGCGCAGUGUCGUAGCUAACGCGUUAAGUAUCCCGCCUGGGAAGUAUGCUCGCAAGAGUGAA